rnacentral:rRNA from 1 species
AGCGAACGCUGGCGGCAGGCCUAACACAUGCAAGUCGAACGAACCUUUCGGGGUUAGUGGCGGACGGGUGAGUAACACGUGGGAACGUGCCUUUAAGUUCGGAAUAACUCAGGGAAACUUGUGCUAAUACCGAAUGUGCCCUUCGGGGGAAAGAUUUAUCGCCUUUAGAGCGGCCCGCGUCUGAUUAGCUAGUUGGUUGAGGUAAUGGCUCACCAAGGCGACGAUCAGUAGCUGGUCUGAGAGGAUGAUCAGCCACAUUGGGACUGAGACACGGCCCAAACUCCUACGGGAGGCAGCAGUGGGGAAUCUUGCGCAAUGGGCGAAAGCCUGACGCAGCCAUGCCGCGUGAAUGAUGAAGGUCUUAGGAUUGUAAAAUUCUUUCACCGGGGACGAUAAUGACGGUACCCGGAGAAGAAGCCCCGGCUAACUUCGU